GAGUCUCUGGACAGAUCCUGACGCUGAGGCACGAAGGCCGGGGGAGCGAACAGGAUUAGAUACCCUGGUAGUCCCAGCAGUAAACGAUGUGAGCUUGAUGUGGGGGGAUUCGACCCCUUCCGUGUCGAAGCUAACGCGAUAAGCUCACCGCCUGAGGAGUACGGCCGCAAGGCUAAAACUCAAAGAAAUUGACGGGGACCCGCACAAGCGGUGGAGUAUGUGGCUUAAUUCGAUGCAACGCGAAGAACCUUACCUGGCCUUGACAUGCAUUGUGUCGUCGGUGAAAGCCGGCUAGUCCUGGAAACAGGACGCUUUGCACAGGUGCUGCAUGGCUGUCGUCAGCUCGUGUCGUGAGAUGUUGGGUUAAGUCCCGCAACGAGCGCAACCCUUGUGGUCAGUUACUAACCGGCUUAGCCGGAGGACUCUGGCCAGACUGCCCUGUCAAACGGGGAGGAAGGUGGGGACGACGUCAAGUCAGUAUGGCCCUUAUGGCCAGGGCUGCACACGUACUACAAUGCCCGGUACAAUGUGAACCGAAACCGCGAGGUGGAGGAAUCGCUCUUGAAACCGGGCCCAGUUCGGAUUGGAGUCUGCAACUCGACUCCAUGAGUCGGAUCGCUAGUAAUGGCGUAUCAGCAACGACGCCGUGAUACGUUCCCGGUCUGACACACCGCCCGUCACAUCAUGGA
rnacentral:rRNA from 1 species